ensembl:lncRNA
GCAGGUCAUGAGAUCGAGCCCCGUGUCGGGUUCUGCGCUGACAGCAUGGGGACUGCUUGGGCUUCUGUCUGUCUCCCUCUCUCUCUGUCCCUCCCCUGCAGGCGCUCGUUCUCUCUCUCUCCCUCAAAAUAAAUGAAUACACAUUAAGAAAAAUAAAGUACCUCUCCUCAAAGGAAAUGGUGGAAAGCUUUGCUGGAUGCCACAUUUGCCCAAUGGCCAUCAUGGCAGCUGGUGAUGCAGAUGGGUUAAAUUCUUCUGCUAAAAAUUGUGGCAUGCAAAUUAUAUUCACAUAGGGCGUAUACGUACUUUUUAAUCAGAAAGAAUAAUACCAACUGCCUGGCAUUCAAUGGUUGAAGUAGGACAGGAGUCUACACACGUAUUAGUUUCUCAAGUCAAAAAUUUAAAAGUCGGGGCGCCUGGGUGGCGCAGUCGGUUAAGCGUCCGACUUCAGCCAGGUCACGAUCUCGCGGUCCGUGAGUUCGAGCCCCGCGUCAGGCUCUGGGCUGAUGGCUCGGAGCCUGGAGCCUGUUUCCGAUUCUGUGUCUCCCUCUCUCUCUGCCCCUCCCCCGUUCAUGCUCUGUCUCUCUCUGUCCCCAAAAUAAAUAAAAACGUUGAAAAAAAAUUAAAAAAAAAAUUUAAAAGUCAAGAAAGUAGAAGGCCCGUGCUGUGUACAAGGAAUUUCUUGCGUAGUUUGAAUAACUGGGUUGUAGAGAGUCAUUGCAAGAGAGAAGCUUCAACCAUUUAUUUCUUCGUGCCAUCAGCCGUGGCUCCGACAUGCAUCGUCGCCUGUUUGUUACGAGUUCCGUUGUGUUGUCUCUACAAGGUGUGGCCGUGGAAUUUACACCUUGCCGGAGGAGAGCUCUUUCGGCUCCAUCAGAAGGAGCAUCCAACCAACGAUUUGGAGAAUUUCGUGUCUCAUCCACCUGGAAGCUGGAGGGCUGGACGUCUAAAAGCUGCAUUUCUGAAACUUCCUUCCGGCUGGAGUCCUGGAUGGUGAGCUGUCGGUGAGAUCCUCUUGCAAGAAAUGUCCAACUUAGAACUGAGGUAGGAGCCACCUGCCUGACGUUGUGGCUGCCAGGGGACCGGCAGAAGUGGAUUCAUUCAGUGGCUGGAAUCACAUUCCAGGGUGUCAAUGGCAGCAAGGGGAGAUGAGGGCUGGGCAGUGCCAGGAAUGACAGAGGCAGCGGCGGCCCCCUGCCCCCCUCCUGGUUCCCCCUGUGGGGUUGAAACCAUCCAUGGUCCCUCCAGCCCCCCACUACUCCGGCUCUUCUGAUGAUGCUAGAACCUUUAGUUCCCGUGUUCAGUGACACUCGGCUUGCCGUGCCUCACGCGGACAGUGCCUUAGAGCGUUUUUCAUGUUCUACACGCACUUUUAUAUGGAGUGCGAGCAGGGGAGGGGCAGAGAGAGAGGGAGGCGCAGAAUCCGAAGCAGGCUCCAGGCUCCAAGAUGUCAGCAGAGAGCCCGACACGGGACUUGAACCCACGAACCAGGAGAUCAUGACCUGAGCUGAAGUCGGACGCUUAAUCCACUGAGCCACCCACGUGCCCCCAAAAAGUAACCUUUUAGAAACCUACUCUGAAAGUUUUCAUUUUAUAAAAUUCAGCUUCGGUUGACAAUUAGUUCUUUCCUCCUAUAAGAUAUAUUUCUGGAGGUGUUACGAAUGCAUUCAGGGGUGCUUUGGUGUCUCAGUCAGUUGAGCCUCCGAGUUUGGCUCAGGUCAUGAUUUCAAGGUUUGUCAGUUCGAGCCCCACGUUGGGCUCUCUGUUAUCAGUGAGGAGCCUGCUUUGGGUCCUCUGUCCCCCUCUCUCUGCCCCUCCCCCACGUGCUCUCUCUCUCUCUCUCUCUCUCUCUCAAAAAUAAAUAAACAUUUUUUAAAAAGAAUGCA